rnacentral:rRNA from 1 species
AUUGAACGCUAGCGGGAUGCUUUACACAUGCAAGUCGAACGAGUGGCGGACGGGUGAGUAAUAUAUCGGAACGUGACCAGUAGCAGGGGCUAACUACUCGAACGAGUGGCUAAUACCGCAUACUAUUGUAUCGGACGAUAGCGGAUUAGCUAGUUGGUGGGGUAAAGGAUCACCAAGGCCACGAUCCGUAGCAGGUUUGAGAGGACGACCAGCCACAUUGUGACUGAUGAACGGCCCAGACUCCUACGGUAGGCAGCGGGGGGGAAUUUUGGACAAUGGGGGAAACCCUGAUCCAGCCAUCCCGCGUGUAUGAGAAGGCCUUCGGGUUGUAAAGUACUUUUGGCAGAGAAGCGGUAUCUGCAGAAUAAGCACCGGCUAACUACGUGCCAGCAGCCGCGGUAAUAC